GCGCCGGUGGUGUAAGGCGAACAUCGCUGCCCGGAAAGCAGCAGAUGCGGGUUCGAGUCCCGCCUGGCGCA
rfam:Heligmosomoides polygyrus genome assembly, scaffold: HPBE_scaffold0004083